CUUCAAUUUAUUAAAAUAAAAUCAUUGAACUUUAAUUUUAUUUCAAAAAACUCCUCUUCACCAAUAAUAAUUGGUUUGCCGAUUAUGUUGUCAAUUUGAUAUCAUUUUUCUCUUUUUGAAAAAAUGGACGGACUAAACUGCCCCUCAUCUACCUACCCCUCCCUUCUUUUAUUGCAACCCACUUGGAUGCUCCUCCUCCUCUCCAUUUUCUAUCCCUUUGCUCCCUCUCCAAAUCCUCCGCUAAAAAGCCAUGUUGCGAGACUAAUUUGAAACUCAGCUAUGUCCCUAAGGCUAAAACAGCUUUUUCACCAUGCAGCCCAGUCUUCACCCCGUAGCCAGCCUCCCUUCCCUCCAUUUUUGAUCUAUACCUCCCACUCUAAUUCUCCUCCUUAAACCAUUUCAAGAAAGCUUUCACUUAAACCAUUCCUUCUUCCUGCACUUCUUUUUUGUUCUUGGUUAUUCAGUGCCUCAAUGCCAUAUGCACAACCCUCCUCUGUCCUUGUGGUGCUUCUACUUGACGCCAUAUUCGUGAAGAUGAAGACUCAGGUCGUGAAGCAAAGACCCAGUUCCCCAUGACAUAGACCCAUCCACAAAUGUUUGAACAGAACCAUCAAACGAGUAAAUUACCCUCCAUCUAAUGCAACAUAUUAUAUAUUAUAGCUCAUUGUCAAUGCCAUUUCCACAACGACACUCUCACUACUAGUGGAUCCUAUUCUUGCUCGCCUAUACCAGCUCAUUAUCAAUAUUGUUUGUUUGUUAUUUACUUGGCAAAUUGGGACUUGGUUUUGUUGAGAUUUAUUUGGUUGAUUUGUUAUGUUUUUACUCUUCUAAGAUCUUAGCAUAAUUUAUGUAUUGUUCAGAUUUAUUGUGCAGAAUUAUGUUUUGAUUUUGUUGGGUGUUGAUAUAUUAUGCUGAUUCUUUAGAUAGUGUACCUUCCUUAUUUAUGAUGUUCUUAUAGUAUGUUAAGGGAUCAAAUAAUUUUUUCCCUACUUGUUUUUAUGGCAUUCCUUCGUUUUAUGAGUACCAAAAUCUUUGCAGUUAAGGUGAUUGGUUAAUGCUCUCUCCCAUGCGCUAUAUAGUGGAAGAUUGCACUAUAUUAAUUUUUAAUAAGCUAUUUGGAGGAGUUAUUCUCACUGUGGUGUGAAUUUUUCCAUUUUACCACCUGCGUGAAGUGUAAUU
rnacentral:misc_RNA from 1 species